ACGGAGGGGGCUAGCGUUGUUCGGAAUUACUGGGCGUAAAGCGCACGUAGGCGGCGAUUUAAGUCAGAGGUGAAAGCCCGGGGCUCAACCCCGGAACUGCCUUUGAGACUGGAUUGCUUGAACAUCGGAGAGGUGAGUGGAAUUCCGAGUGUAGAGGUGAAAUUCGUAGAUAUUCGGAAGAACACCAGUGGCGAAGGCGGCUCUCUGGAACGCAACUGACGCUGAGACGCGAAAGCGUGGGGAGCAAACAGGA
rnacentral:rRNA from 1 species